rnacentral:rRNA from 1 species
CCCUUAGAUGUUCUGGGCCGCACGCGCGCUACACUGAUGCAUUCAACGAGUUUCUUCCUGGUCCGAGAGGAAUGGGUAACCUUUUGAAAGUGCAUCGUGAUAGGGAUAGACUAUUGCAAUUAUUGGUCUUCAACGAGGAAUUCCUAGUAGACGUAGUUCAUCAGACUGCAUCGAUUACGUCCCUGCCCUUUGUACACACCGCCCGUCGCUCCUACCGAUUGAAUGCUCAGGUGAGCCAUUCGGACUUUCAUCAUGCUGGUUUCCAGUUUUGAUGAAGGAAAGUCUUGCGAACCUUAUCAUUUAGUGGAAGGAGAAGUCGUAACA